GGGAGGUAGGAGUUUGUGAUCAUAAAUAGUGAAGUCAGAGAAGGCUUCGUUGAUGUGAGGCUCUAGCCUGCAAGUAUUCCAGGGAAGAAUGUUCCAGGAAAGGGAUAGGUUUUAAACUGCAUUUUCCAUGUUGUAGUAAACAUCUUCUAACGUGUCACACAGGCCAUGGCGCUUGCUUUCUGAGGAUUGUUUCCCCAGUCUCAGGAAUGGAACCCAGGACCUCACCCAUGCUAAGAAGUACUCUACCAUUGAACUACAUCCCCAACCCCAGAACCUGAAUUUUAAUAAGCGCCUCCAG